rnacentral:rRNA from 1 species
CCUUCGGGCGCUGACGAGUGGCGGACGGGUGAGUAACGCGUAGGAAUCUGCCUUAUAGUGGGGGACAACGUGGGGAAACCCACGCUAAUACCGCAUACGCCCUACGGGGGAAAGGAGGGGAUCUUCGGACCCUUCGCUAUGAGAUGAGCCUGCGUUAGAUUAGCUAGUUGGUAGGGUAAAGGCCUACCAAGGCGACGAUCUAUAGCUGGUCUGAGAGGACGAUCAGCCACACUGGGACUGAGACACGGCCCAGACUCCUACGGGAGGCAGCAGUGGGGAAUAUUGGACAAUGGGCGAAAGCCUGAUCCAGCAAUACCGCGUGUGUGAAGAAGGCCUUAGGGUUGUAAAGCACUUUCAAUUGGGAGGAAAACCUGUCGGUCAAUACCCGGCAGCUUGACAUUACCUUUAGAAGAAGCACCGGCUAACUCCGUGCCAGCANCCGCGGUAAUACGGAGGGUGCGAGCGUUAAUCUUAAUCGGAAUUACUGGGCGUAAAGCGUGCGUAGGCGGUUCGUUAAGUCAGAUGUGAAAGCCCUGGGCUCAACCUGGGAACUGCAUUUGAAACUGGCGGACUAGAGUUUAGUAGAGGGGAGUGGAAUUUCAGGUGUAGCGGUGAAAUGCGUAGAUAUCUGAAGGAACACCAGUGGCGAAGGCGACUCCCUGGACUAGAACUGGCGCUGAGGUACGAAAGCGUGGGUAGCAAACAGGAUUAGAUACCCUGGUAGUCCACGCCGUAAACGAUGUCGACUAGCCGUUGGUCCUAUUUACAGGAUUAGUGGCGCAGCUAACGCAUUAAGUCGACCGCCUGGGGAGUACGGCCGCAAGGUUAAAACUCAAAUGAAUUGACGGGGGCCCGCACAAGCGGUGGAGCAUGUGGUUUAAUUCGAUGCACGCGAAGAACCUUACCUACCCUUGACAUCCAGAGAAUC